AUGAACGCUGGCGGCGUGCCUCAUACAUGCAAGUCGCGCGAACAGACGAGGAGCUUGCUCCUCUGACGUUAGCGGCGGACGGGUGAGUAACACGUGGAUAACCUACCUAUAAGACUGGGAUAACUUCGGGAAACCGGAGCUAAUACCGGAUAAUAUAUUGAACCGCAUGGUUCAAUAGUGAAAGACGGUUUUGCUGUCACUUAUAGAUGGAUCCGCGCCGCAUUAGCUAGUUGGUAAGGUAACGGCUUACCAAGGCAACGAUGCGUAGCCGACCUGAGAGGGUGAUCGGCCACACUGGAACUGAGACACGGUCCAGACUCCUACGGGAGGCAGCAGUAGGGAAUCUGCCGCAAUGGGCGAAAGCCUGACGGAGCAACGCCGCGUGAGUGAUGAAGGUCUUCGGAUCGUAAAACUCUGUUAUUAGGGAAGAACAAAUGUGUAAGUAACUAUGCACGUCUUGACGGUACCUAAUCAGAAAGCCACGGCUAACUACGU
rnacentral:rRNA from 1 species